rnacentral:misc_RNA from 1 species
GGUUCAGCUGUUAAUUCCUUGAAAAAUUCAUUGAUGGUGGAUUCAUUUUUUAAGUUGAGAUGUGAGGUGUUGGGUGCAAAUAUUGUGAAGAGUGCCUCUAGAACAUUUGCUGUGUAUUCCAUUUCUGUNUAAAUAAUAAUAGUUGGUCAAUCAAAAGAAGGUUUCGACAUUUUGAGGAGUUGCACCGGCGUCUAAAAGAGUAUCCAGAGUAUAAUCUUCAUUUGCCACCAAAG